rnacentral:rRNA from 1 species
ACGGAAGGCAGCAGUGAGGAAUAUUGGUCAAUGGGCGGAAGCCUGAACCAGCCAAGUCGCGUGAAGGAUGAAGGUAUUAUGUAUUGUAAACUUCUUUAGACGUAGAGAAAUAAGGGGAUCGUGAUCCCUGAUGCUAGUAUACGUAGAAUAAGGAUCGGCUAACUCCGUGCCAGCAGCUGCGGUAAUACGGAGGAUCCGAGCGUUAUCCGGAUUUAUUGGGUUUAAAGGGUGCGCAGGCGGCUUUUUAAGUCAGUGGUCAAAUCGUGGAGCUUAACUCCAUCCCGCCAUUGAUACUGGAGAGCUUGAUUGCGGUUGAGGUUGGCGGAAUUCGCCGUGUAGCGGUGAAAUGCAUAGAUAUGGCGAAGAACUCCGAUUGCGUAGGCAGCUGACCAAGCCGUAAAUGACGCUCAUGCACGAAAGUGCGGGGAUCGAACAGGAUUAGAUACCCUGGUA